rnacentral:rRNA from 1 species
AUUGAACGCUGGCGGCAUGCCUUACACAUGCAAGUCGAACGGCAGCACGGGGGCAACCCUGGUGGCGAGUGGCGAACGGGUGAGUAAUACAUCGGAACGUGUCCUGUAGUGGGGGAUAGCCCGGCGAAAACCGGAUUAAUACCGCAUACGCUCUACGGAGGAAAGGGGGGGAUCUUAGGACCUCCCGCUACAGGGGCGGCCGAUGGCAGAUUAGCUAGUUGGUGGGGUAAAGGCCUACCAAGGCGACGAUCUGUAGCUGGUCUGAGAGGACGACCAGCCACACUGGGACUGAGACACGGCCCAGACUCCUACGGGAGGCAGCAGUGGGGAAUUUUGGACAAUGGGGGCAACCCUGAUCCAGCAAUGCCGCGUGUGUGAAGAAGGCCUUCGGGUUGUAAAGCACUUUUGUCCGGAAAGAAAACGCCGUGGUUAAUACCCGUGGCGGAUGACGGUACCGGAAGAAUAAGCACCGGCUAACUACGUG